GUGGAAACUGACCGGGAGAGUGUAACUGUCUCUCGGGACUGAAGGAUGCCUACAGAUGUUCCCUCAACAUAGAGUUCUGCAUCAGCGUCCCCACAUAUGGUGCAGGGAAGCAAUGUCCUUCAUUCAGGCUUCAAGGUCCCAGAAGGUUUGGCCCAGUGAGGUGAACUCAUUACUAUGAGGUGAACAUUGAGGGGGAAGUCAACAUGCAAGUGGCCACUCUGUAUUGAGGUGCAAUCUUCCACUGCCUCAGAAAAGCAUUCAGAUAUGAUUUGAAGAAAUUCUUAAUUAGCAUUUUGGUCCUCAUCCAAGAGGCAGCAUAUAUUUGCUACAACUGCUAAUAUAAAGCUGCUAACAUUUAGCUGCCAUGACUAGUAGCCACUGAUAGUCUCAUCCUCAAAACAUCUGAAUUGUCAAUAUAUAUAUAAUUUCUUGCCCACUUUAGCAAUCAUGUACCAAGCAAUUACUACAUCAGUUUUAGUCUAUUAAAUGGGAAGAUGUAUGUGAUGAUGUAACAAAAGGAACUUUGCUUUUCUGUUCAUGUCAGUCUCAGGACAAUUAAGUCAG